rnacentral:rRNA from 1 species
GAUCAUGGCUCAGGAUGAACGCUGGCGGCGUGCUUAACACAUGCAAGUCGAACGAAGCACUUUAUUUGAUUUCCUUCGGGACUGAUUAUUUUGUUGACUGAGUGGCGGACGGGUGGAGUAACGCGUGGGUAACCUGCCUUGUACGAGGGGGAGUAACAGUUGGAAACGGCUGCUAAUACCGCAUAAGCACACAGCAUCGCUAUGAUGCAGUGUGAAAAACUCCGGUGGUAUAAGAGUGGACCCGG